rnacentral:piRNA from 1 species
UUGGAAGUGUCUAAAAUGGCCUGUGUUC